rnacentral:rRNA from 1 species
UCAGACCUGAGUGUGGCAGGACCACCCGCUAAACUUAAGCAUAUUACUCAGCGGAGGAAAAGAAAACAA